UUUAAGUGCAGUUGUGAUUUUCCGUGUCAAAUGUUUGACCGUCUGUCUUAUUUGAAAAUUUUAACAAAAAUGAAUCAUGCAUAAAGUACUAUUCAUGUUUUAUCAUCUAAUAAUAAUAAAAAAUUUAAAAUAAGACGGAUGGUCAAACGUUGGACACGGAAACUCAUGGCUACACUUAAA
rfam:Oryza sativa Japonica Group DNA, chromosome 7, cultivar: Nipponbare, complete sequence.